AAAGAAAUACCUAAAAAAAGCUUCUAACUUUUUUAUAAGCAAUAAAUUGU
rnacentral:tRNA from 1 species